UAGCUCAGUCAGUUGAGUGUGGCGCUAGCAAUGCCAAGGUCGCGGGUUCGAUUCCCGU
rfam:Apaloderma vittatum contig19894, whole genome shotgun sequence.